CUCUCUCUCCCUCAUUUCCUCUCGCGCGUGCCCAAAGCAGAGCCCAGCUGAGCACAGCACGCACACGCACCACCGUCCAAUCUGUCGUGCCCGAGCUCUGACUAGCCUCAGCCCAGCCAGGUGAAGCACCGGGGUGGAUCACCUGACGCCCUCCGUUGCCUUCCCCGCCUUUUCUCGCGCGAAUCAAGCUCGGUCGUGCCAUCUUCCCCGCCUCCGGCACCCAUCUCCGCCUCUCCACCGCUGAGCUGCCUCACCGUUGUCUCCUUGUGUCAACCAUCUGCGUGGUCCGGAGCGUGAUGCGAGCGUGACCGAGGACAAUGCCAACCUUCCGCUUUUCUGUGAGUUCUGUGCAGGAAGUAUCGAGCAAACUCGGAGCAGCAAGGUCGCCUUUGUUGCUAUGGUCCUGCCUUUGCUAUCACUGUGUGAUGAUAUCCAGAAUGUGAUGGCAAGCUGGCGACACUGCUGAGCACAUAUUUUUUCGGUUAGCUGAGAAUUAUAUAUUUGGGAAAACACAAGGUGUAUAUAUCUUCUCAUACUUCAUCAAUGGAUAAUCAAGAAUAUCUCAGCUAGGGUCCAAAAGGUUUUGGAACUUGUUGCUACCAACCGUUAUCACCGGUUAAU